GCACGGCUCAUGCAUUUUGACUGAGUGCUGUAUACCAACGAGCUUGAUUGCUCUUUUCGUUCCCUAAUAGAUCACCAACCGGAACCAUUUGAACAGUUCUGAUAUUCUGACCUUCACCCCGAAUUUCCAUUGCAUCCCAUCCCAAAAGGUUAUGACACGCUGAUGCCGCUUGACAUCUCCUUGUCUCCAUCCCUCAUACAUGCAUCUCCCCAUAUUGUUUCUAUCAGCCAAAGAUACUAUGUGGC
rnacentral:lncRNA from 1 species